rnacentral:tRNA from 1 species
GCCGGGAUGGCGGAAUUGGUAGACGCACAGGACUUAAAAUCCUGGGAGCGAUGAGUUCGUGGGGGUUCGAGUCCCCCUCCCGGCA